rnacentral:rRNA from 1 species
ACUCCUACGGGAGGCAGCAGUGGGGAAUAUUGGACAAUGGGCGCAACCCUGAUCUAGCCAUGCCGCGUGAGUGAUGAAGGCCUUAGGGUUGUAAAGCUCUUUCAGCUGGGAAGAUAAUGACGGUACCAGCAGAAGAAGCCCCGGCUAACUCCGUGCCAGCAGCCGCGGUAAU